GCGUGGAUAAGACAUGCAAGUCGAACGGGAUCAUUGGAGUAGCAAUACAACGAUGGUCUAGUGGCGAACGGGUGCGUAACACGUGGAUACAUUCCGGGAAGCGGGGGAUAGCCCAGGGAAACUUGGAUUAAUACCGCAUGUGAUCGAGAGAUCAAAGACGGGGACCGCAAGGCCUGUCACUUCCCGAUUGGUCCGCGGCCUAUCAGCUAGUUGGCGGGGUAAAGGCCCACCAAGGCUACGACGGGUAGCUGGUCUUAGAGGACGACCAGCCACACUGGAACUGAGACUCGGUCCAGACACCUACGGGUGGCAGCAGUCGAGAAUCUUUCACAAUGGGGGCAACCCUGAUGGAGCGACGCCGCGUGGAGGAUAAGGUCUUCGGAUUGUAAACUCCUGUCAUGUGUGAACAAGGUUGCAGGGAUAAUACCUUUGCAAAUUGAUGGUAACACAAGAGGAAGAGACGGCUAACUCUGUGCCAGCAGCCGCGGUAAUACAGAGGUCUCAAGCGUUGUUCGGAAUCACUGGGCGUAAAGGGUGCGUAGGUGGCGUGGUAAGUCAGAUGUGAAAGCCCGGGGCUCAACCUCGGAACAGCAUCCGAUACUGCCGUGCUAGAGUACUGAAGAGGUGACUAGAAUUCUCGGUGUAGCAGUGAAAUGCGUAGAUAUCGAGAGGAAUACCAAAGGCGAAGGCAGGUCACUGGGCAGUUACUGACACUGAGGCACGAAGGCCAGGGGAGCAGGCGGGAUUAGAUACCCCGGUAGUCCUGGCAGUAAACGGUGCACGUUUGGUGUGGGUGCAAUCGACCGCGUCCGCGCCGGAGCUAACGCGUUAAACGUGCCGCCUGGGAAGUACGGUCGC
rnacentral:rRNA from 1 species